rnacentral:lncRNA from 1 species
AUAUAAUUGUCUAAUCUUGUUCCCUAAUAUAUUUCAAUGUAGACACUUAAAACUGCAAACAUUCAGAAUCAUGAAGCAAUUCUCAAACUCAUAACCAGAAAGAAUGAAAUAUGGAAGGAAAGUGUUUCUUCCUAGAAGAAUACCUAAGAUUGGAAGCCUACCUAUUGUUAGAAAAAAACAACCAGAAUGAAACCAUGGUUAAGCUCUGUUUAAGCUGCUGUAAGAUGAUGACAACCAAAUUUAACCCAAUAAUGUUCUAUGGAUUGAUACAAAAACCUCAUGAAGUGUUUGGUGAGAUAGAAAAUACCAGCCUGUGUCUUUCUGAGGUCCACUGGUUCUCAUUCAGCAGCUUUGUCUUCUCCUGA